AGUGAACGCUGGCGGUAGGCCUAACACAUGCAAGUCGAACGGCAGCACAGUAAGAGCUUGCUCUUACGGGUGGCGAGUGGCGGACGGGUGAGGAAUACAUCGGAAUCUACUUUUUCGUGGGGGAUAACGUAGGGAAACUUACGCUAAUACCGCAUACGACCUACGGGUGAAAGCAGGGGAUCUUCGGACCUUGCGCGAUUGAAUGAGCCGAUGUCGGAUUAGCUAGUUGGCGGGGUAAAGGCCCACCAAGGCGACGAUCCGUAGCUGGUCUGAGAGGACGAUCAGCCACACUGGAACUGAGACACGGUCCAGACUCCUACGGGAGGCAGCAGUGGGGAAUAUUGGACAAUGGGCGCAAGCCUGAUCCAGCCAUACCGCGUAGGUGAAGAAGGCCUUCGGGUUGUAAAGCCCUUUUGUUGGGAAAGAAAAGCAGCAGGUUAAUACCCCGCUGUUCUGACGGUACCCAAAGAAUAAGCACCGGCUGACUUCGUG
rnacentral:rRNA from 1 species